rnacentral:lncRNA from 1 species
CGGCCGCAGAUCCCGGCAACUUGCGAGCCGGGAAAAGUUUGCGGCGCCUCCGCGGGGCGGCGCGGCGCGGCGCGUCCCGCCCCUCGCGUCCGCGGUCACCGCGGGUGACUUUCUCGACUCGUCGUCAGCCGGGGCCGCAGCGCGGCCGGCGGGGACUGCGGGGAGGGCCGGAGUCCGUCCGAGGGCUCCCGCACCUCGGGCUGCGGGAACAUUAAAAUCUCCCCAGAUGCUCACUGCUCUGAUCAUUUCCCCUACAGCACCAGACAUGUUGGCAUCAUCUCUUAGUUGGGCCCUGUGGCCAGGGAACCCCUCAUGAAACCACCUCUGCAGUCCUGGAGAGUUGCUGUAGAAGAAGGAAAAGAGAGGAAGACAACACAACGCAGGAGGGGAUAAGUACCUCUGGACACAAUGGAAGUAGUAGUUGUUGAGCAGAGGGAAAGGGAUAGGGGAAGGAUGUGGACUGCAGUGCUGCAGUGCCAGGAAGUUCAAGGACCUUCAGAAAUCAAUCCAUGGGCUCCACAAACACUGUAUCAAGAGGCAUUCGAGACCAGCCUGGGCUAGAGGUGGACGUGAGAGAAAGAUCCCAUAGCCCUCUUGGUCUUGGUUGGAACAGGAGGAAAACUGGACAUCCAUCUUAGGACUUAAUCCUACGGAGACGACAAGCUG